rnacentral:rRNA from 1 species
UACGUAGGGACCAAGCGUUGUUCGGAUUUACUGGGCGUAAAGCGUGCGCAGGCGGUCUGUUAAGACAGAUGUGAAAUCCCCGGGCUUAACCUGGGAACUGCAUUUGUGACUGGCAGGCUAGAGUAUGGCAGAGGGGGGUAGAAUUCCACGUGUAGCAGUGAAAUGCGUAGAGAUGUGGAGGAAUACCGAUGGCGAAGGCAGCCCCCUGGGCCAAUACUGACGCUCAUGCACGAAAGCGUGGGGAGCAAACAGG